AUUGAACGCUGGCGGCAGGCCUAACACAUGCAAGUCGAACGAGUGGCGGACGGGUGAGUAAUGUCUGGGAAACUGCCUGAUGGAGGGGGAUAACUACUGGAAACGGUAGCUAAUACCGCAUACCAUCGGAUGUGCCCAGAUGGGAUUAGCUAGUGGGUGGGGUAACGGCUCACCUAGGCGACGAUCCCUAGCUGGUCUGAGCGGAUGACCAGCCACACCGGAAGGGUGCCACGGUCAAGAGCCCUAUGGGAGGCAGCAGUGGGGAAGAUGGCAAAAUUGGCGCAAGCCUGAUGCAGCCAUGCCGCGGGUAUGAAGAAGGUCUUCGGGUUGUAAAGUACUUUCAGCGGGGAGGCGUUACCCGCAGAAAAAGCACCGGCUAACUCCGUGCCAGCAGCCGCGGUAAUUC
rnacentral:rRNA from 1 species